GGACGGAGCUGGAGAAGUGGGCAGGUGACGAAGACUGCUUCACAGGGUGCUGGGGGUGGCUGUGCUUCCAGCAUUUCACAGAGAGAAGACAGAUACGGAGAUUAAGAACCACCCUGAUGCCCCACCACAGAACACGUACAGAGAGCUGAGACCUCAUCUGUCCUAUUAUCUGCUGCAUUGCCAUAUCUGAGGAUGCAAAAUGGGGGCUGGCCGUAGUACGCACACGCUGAAUGAACGCCUGAACUCAGAGAGGAGCUGCUCAGAACACAACUACCUGGGCCGCAGACCCCAGCCCCAUCGCCACCUUUAGGACUCAGCAUUCAGCACCUCACUCGGGCAUCCAAGGCCUUCCCGA